GUUGCAGACUUUUUUCAAAAACAUCUGGUAUCCCUGCUAGUCGUAAAUAACGUAAAUAAACCCGACAAAGUGAGCAAAUAAAAUGCACAGUAUUUCGAAGAUGAUGAAGCCGCUAAUAAAAUAUUUUAGUGGUGAAGUUAACGUAGCUAGCCUUCCUUUUGAAUCAAUCCCAGGACCGUCGCGAAUUCCUAUUAUUGGAUCUAUCAACGACAUUAUACAGCUUGGAAAUCCCAAAACCAAUAAACAAUAAGCCGCAAAUAUUCCACGUUGGACGAAGAAACAGCCUGCUCGCAUCUACACAAAUUCCCACUCGGAACAGUCAGACUGUUUGUAAAACCGAGAAAGGACAAAUGACAAUGACAGCUCCUUUUAAGCCUAAAGCAAAACUGGCAGUAUGUGACGUACUCGAAAAUAGCGAAAAUCGUUCGAAUCGAGCUGCACAAUGCCACCCCUGUAUUGAAAAUCAAAAUUCUAAAAAUCUGUAUACUUGGCAGCCCUGGUUUUGAGCCAAACGAACAUGUCAUAAUCUGAGCCAAACGAACAAGAAAGGUAACACAUUGAAAGCUAGCUGGCAUCCCGACAUGUUUCAAGGGUUAACAUCUCAGCGUGUGUAUAAACGAGAUAGCAUAUCACCGCCACUUUUCAUACGCAUCCCGAUCAGAAAGAAAAAACAAAAAUGUAACAGAAGCUGUUAGUUUGUUACGGGAAAAAACCUAACAGACUGUGUUUUCAAUUUGAUCCCGUUAGGUUUAAAAAUAACAGAAAUUAUAACUGAAAUGAUUCUACUAGUAUCAAACACAUAACAAAAUUUAAAUAAUGUAUCAGCUUUCUAACAAAAUAAGAUAGUAUAUAGAACAAUAUAAUAACGAACAUUGUUAGAAACAACAGGUUUUGAUAGAAACGAAAAAUUAGUUAGACUUGUUUCAGAACUACUUCAUUCCAGUUUUUGUUAUUAUAACUCAUUCAGAUUCAAUUUUGUUAUCAAAAUUAUAUGGAAAAAUACAAAAUUGUAUGUAAAUAUGUUAUUUGUAUCUCGCGUUGAUAGAAUUUUGUAAUUUUCUAGUUAUGCUCUUCUGAUCGGGAUAACAUAGCAUCUGUCAGUGGGGCCCGCAAGUCAUGGAUCCGCUGUGAUGUUAGCUGCGAUGAAGCAAAGCAAAUAUAAUAGAGAUGCCAGCCAGCUGUUUUUAUGCUCUAUUGCUUAACAAUGAAUUGAGAAUGCUUCAAUAUUGCUUUAUCAC